GUGGUGUACAUGACACAUUGUAUAAGUUCUAUUACCUUUCUGUUUGUGAUAAUUUUGAUUAAAAUAGUAAUAUUUUAACUUUUUUGUAAUAUGUGCACUUUGGUAUGUUAACUAGCAUUGUCCCUUAGUGCCUCUUGCAGUUUUGUCACUUUAAAUAGUACUGACUCCUCUGCACAAGGCAUGAGGAUGAGUCAUACCAGUUAUGUGCAACUUCUUACAAUAUCUUACUGUAUCAUUAAUGUCCCGAUACACAUUUUAAUAUGCACCCACCA
rnacentral:lncRNA from 1 species